UGAGGUAGAUCACAGGGCCUCAAUCAAGGAACAUGCGGGAACACCUGCGAUCGUGGUUGACACGGCUCUGCAGCAGCUGGCAGCUGUUACCACGCUAAUGGCCUGCAAACCAUGAGGCGCAUAACUGAACUUAGUAUGACAUAUACCACUUAAAAGACUGAACGUAUUUUUUACAGUCUGUGGGCUGAACACGGGCGCAAUUGCGUAUGCUCACUUUUUCUACGGCAGUUUCUCCAGUGUGCACUGUGGCAUUGCAGCUAACGUGAAAAUGGCUGAUCUGACCUGCAUGCAGAUCAACUGCCAACACCUGGCAGAAAUAAGCAGAGGGCAGACCACAGCUGGACUGAUGGAGAGAAUGUAAACGUAAAGGAGGGCACACACCCGAGGGCAGACCGGACAACUGCCCCAGCUCUACAACUGCCCCAGCUCUACAACUGCACCAGUUCUACAACGCACAAUGCGUGGCACAGUCUGAACCAUGUGCACAGCUUGCUGACUGCGGAGUGCACACCUAACUCAUGGCAUCUGUGCCCAGUGAAUUGCCAGCAGGACAUUUUGUAUUGCAAACUAGCAGUCAAAACACUGAUCCCUGCACCCCGUCAUUGUACCAUUUGUAUUGAAUGAUCAGCACCACAUUAUAUUGUUGCAAUCUUAACACACAUCCUGAUGUCAGAAUAUAUUCCCGAUAUAUAUUUCAAAAUGUGAGUCAUGUUUAUAUAAAAUGUAUGAAUAAUUAUUAAUUACACAGGAAACACUAUGCAUACCAGCAAGCAUAAGGUUACAUUAUGUGAUUUAUUUCAUCAUAUACUGUAUGCAUACAUGAGAAGGUGAGAGUAGCUUUCACUUUGACAUUAUAUUUAUCAUGCACUGUUUGUAAGUGGGCUCUAACAUUAGUAAUUCAGGAUGAACAGGACACUCGCCGUUGUGCCCAUGGAAGAUUAAGUGUUUUCAGUCAAUAACCUGUUUCUGCCGAAAUCUCAGACCAGGUGUGUGCGUGUACCGGUUAACACCUCAGAAAAAAAGCACCAAAAUUUCCACAGAGUUCAGCCGAGUGGUUCGAAUAACUGCAUCAUUUUGCGGUGGCCACGGUUUGCACGCGAAUGACAGCUGUACGAACAACAGCACUUUGUUUAUCUUCCUGUGUGUAUCAGUAGUGGUUGAGCCGU